UAGUCGAUGUCGAGGCUUGAGGGGGGGUCAGAAAAUGAAAACAGAUUUCUGUUCUUCUGCUGACUGACAUCAUAGUCGCGGCAAUAAAAAAAGAAAUCGACGCUCUUUUCUUUGUUCAUUACCAACAUUUUGACGGAGUUUAUCGGCCGUGUUUUGUGAUACUCAGUUGUGUUCUGUAAAUAAUGGUGCAUAAGCAGUGUAGGCUUUAGUGGAAAGUUUUAUAAAUUAUUGAAAGUGUUGCAUUAGUGUUGUGCGGUGCUGUUUUUUGCUCAUGUUUAGGAGGAUUUCUUCCCCUGGAGAUAAACUCUCUUCUUGUGUUAAGAAACGGGACUGAUGGAGUUUUUUGAGUUGAUUGUGAUGCUGUGGUGAGAACAGCAAGAUGGACCACAGUGUGAAAGCGAUGCAGAGUCAUCGCAAGAUGGCCUUCUCUCGGUUGCUCAACAGACAUAGGUUUGAGAAUGAUGAGCUAGAGUCAUUGUAUCAGCGCUACAUCUUCAAGCUGCAACACUCGUCAGUAGCCAGUGUAGUUGCCAUGUUUGUGUUG